rnacentral:rRNA from 1 species
UACGUAGGGUGCGAGCGUUAAUCGGAAUUACUGGGCGUAAAGCGUGCGCAGGCGGUUCGUUGUGUCGGUGGUGAAAGCCCCGGGCUUAACCUGGGAAUGGCCAUGGAAACUGGCGAACUGGAGUGUGGCAUAGGGGGGUGGAAUUCCGCGUGUAGCAGUGAAAUGCGUAGAGAUGCGGAGGAACACCGAUGGCGAAGGCAGCCCCCUGGGCUAACACUGACGCUCAGGCACGAAAGCGUGGGGAGCAAACAGG